rnacentral:rRNA from 1 species
AACGAACGCUGGCGGCACGUUUUAAGCAUGCAAGUCGAACGGCAGUGGGGGCAACCCCAUGAGAGUGGCGAACGGGUGAGUAACACGUAGGUGAUCUGCCUUUGGGUUGGGGAUAGCUUGUGGAAACACGGGGUAAUACCGGAUGAGCUGACGAGGCUUUGGCCAUGUUAGUAAAGGUGCUACGGCACCGCCUAGAGAGGAGCCUGCGGCUGAUUAGCUAGCUGGUGGGGUAAAGGCCUACCAAGGCGACGAUCAGUAGCCGGCCUGAGAGGGUGUACGGCCACACUGGAACUGAGACACGGUCCAGACUCCUACGGGAGGCAGCAGCUAAGAAUCUUCCGCAAUGGGCGAAAGCCUGACGGAGAGAUGCCGCGUGAUCGAUGAAGGUCGAGAGAUUGUAAACUGCUUUUAUUAGUGACGAUUAUGACGGUUAAUAGCCCAGAGGGUGACGGUACCUCCAGAAGAAGCCCCGGCUAACUACGUGCCAGCAGCCGCAGUAACAC